GACGAACGCUGGCGGCGUGCUUAACACAUGCAAGUAGGACGCAGUUGCGAACGGGUGAGUAACGCGUAGGUAACUACCUAUUAGAGGGGGCUAACUAUUGGAAACGAUAGCUAAUACCGCAUACUAGUAGAUGGACCUGCGUUGUAUUAGCUAGUAGGUAGGGUAAUGGCCUACCUUGGAAACAAUACAUAGCCGACAUGGAAGGGUGAUCGGCCAAAAGGGGACUGGGACACGGCCCAGAAUCCUGAGGGAGGCAGCAGUAGGGAAACGUCGGGAAUGGGGGGAACCCUGGCCGAGCAACGCCGCGGGGUGGAAGAAGGUUUUCGGAUCGUAAAGCUCUGUUGUUAAGGAAGCGGUACUUAACCAGAAAGGGACGGCUAACUACGUGCCAGCCGCCGCGGUAAUAC
rnacentral:rRNA from 1 species